AGUGAACGCUGGCGGUAGGCCUAACACAUGCAAGUCGAACGGCAGCACAGUAAGAGCUUGCUCUUACGGGUGGCGAGUGGCGGACGGGUGAGGAAUACAUCGGAAUCUACUUUUUCGUGGGGGAUAACGUAGGGAAGCUUACGCUAAUACCGCAUACGACCUACGGGUGAAAGCAGGGGAUCUUCGGACCUUGCGCGAUUGAAUGAGCCGAUGUCGGAUUAGCUAGUUGGCGGGGUAAAGGCCCACCAAGGCGACGAUCCGUAGCUGGUCUGAGAGGAUGAUCAGACACACUGGAACUGAGACACGGUCCAGACUCCUAAGGGAGGCAGCAGUGGGGAAUAUUGGACAAUGGGCGCAAGCCUGAUCCAGCCAUACCGCGUGGGUGAAGAAGGCCUUCGGGUUGUAAAGCCCUUUUGUUGCGAAAGAAAAGCAGCAGGUUAAUACCCCGCUGUUCUGACGGUACCCAAAGAAUAAGCACCGGCUAACUUCGUG
rnacentral:rRNA from 1 species